rnacentral:rRNA from 1 species
GAACGCUGGCGGCGUGCUUAACACAUGCAAGUCGAACGGUGACGAGGAGCUUGCUCCUCCGAUCAGUGGCGAACGGGUGAGUAACACGUGAGUAACCUGCCCCAGACUCUGGAAUAACAGUUGGAAACAGCUGCUAAUACCGGAUACGAGACGGAGAGGCAUCUCUACCGUCUGGAAAGUUUUUCGGUCUGGGAUGGACUCGCGGCCUAUCAGCUUGUUGGUGAGGUAAUGGCUCACCAAGGCGACGACGGGUAGCCGGCCUGAGAGGGCGACCGGCCACACUGGGACUGAGACACGGCCCAGACUCCUACGGGAGGCAGCAGUGGGGAAUAUUGCACAAUGGGCGAAAGCCUGAUGCAGCAACGCCGCGUGAGGGAUGACGGCCUUCGGGUUGUAAACCUCUUUCAGUAGGGAAGAAGCGAAAGUGACGGUACCUACAGAAGAAGCACCGGCUAACUACGUG